rnacentral:rRNA from 1 species
AUUGAACGCUGGCGGCAGGCCUAACACAUGCAAGUCGAACGAGCGGCGGACGGGUGAGUAAUGUAUGGGAAACUGCCCGAUGGAGGGGGAUAACUACUGGAAACGGUAGCUAAUACCGCAUACUAUCGGAUGUGCCCAUAUGGGAUUAGCUAGUAGGUGGGGUAACGGCUCACCUAGGCGACGAUCCCUAGCUGGUCUGAGAGGAUGACCAGCCACCCUGGAACAGAGACACGGUCCAGACUCCUACGGGAGGCAGCAGUGGGGAAUAUUGCACAAGGGGCGAAAGCCUGAUGCAGCCAUGCGGCGUGUAUGAAGAAGGCCUUCGGGUUGUAAAGUACUUUCAGCGAGGAGGCGUUACUCGCAGAAGAAGCACCGGCUAACUCCGUGCCAGCAGCCGCGGUAAUAC